rnacentral:lncRNA from 1 species
ACACUCAAAUUGAAAUUAUUUACGAACCUCCCAUAGAGGCUCUCGUUUAUAAUUUUGGUGACCAAAUAAAACGAUGCUAAGCUUAAUAUACACAUUUGUUGUCAGAUAUAUUUCGUUUAGUGGGAGGGUUUCAGCUUGAUCAAUGGACACAUAUACCUUUCCCAUAUAGAGGCAUGUUGGAUCACAGGGAUCAAGUUAUCGUUGCAUUAUUGUAGUUAGAUAGAUCUACACAUGCAUUCAUGCAUCAUAUGCUAAAUUGUCAUUUGCUACUCAAUUUUAAUAUGCAAUAAAUUGUUAUUUUUCAGCAAAAUGUCUCUCAGCGCCUUUUCCGUUAUUCUAAAACAAAAUCAACUUGUCGGGAAUAAUUAUGUGGAUUGGAAACGUAAUUUGAUGUUUGUGCUUAUUGCCGAAAAACUUGAUUUUGUGCUCGAAGAAGAAUGUCUCGAGGAACCUACUGAGACUAUAGGUAAGUCCAAGAGGGCUGCGUAUGAUAAGUGGAUCGCUGCUGACAAGAUGACUCGCUGUUACAAUUUGGCAUCCAUGUCAAACGUGUUACAGCAAAAGCUUGAAAGUCAGGAGACCUCUUAUGACAUACUAGAAAGCCUGAAGGGCAUGUUUGGACAUCAAAGUAGGAGGACUCGCUUUGAGGCCAUUCGUACCUUACAGAACAUCCGCAUGAAACCUGGAAUGCCUGUGAAGGAUCAUAUGUUGACUAUGAUUGCAUACUUCAACGUGGCGGAGAAUCUGGGUGCAACUAUUGAUUAGGAAACUCAAGUUGAUAUGGUAUUAAAUUCUUUAUCUGAUAUGUUUUCACAGUUUACUGUGGACUAUCACUUGUAUAAGAUGAAUAUGUCAUUAACUAAGUUGAUGAAUGAGUUGCAAAAUGUGGAAAGUGGUCUUAAAGGUAAGGGUGGCCAUGCUCAUGCGACAAUUGCUAGCUCCUCUGGCUCCAAGCCGAAUGGCAGAAUUGGAAAGAAGAGGAAGAGAUCUAACAAGAAGUCAGGAAGCAACAAAAAGCCCAUAUCAGAUGGAAUGUCAAAAGGCAAGUGUUUCCACUAUGGUCGCAAAGGACACUGGAAGAAAGAUUACCCUGA